GUGCACUUACCUCAGCAGCACAUAUACUAAAAUUGGAAUGAUGUAGAGAAGAUUAGCGUGGCCCCUGUGCAGGGGUGACAUGCAAAUUUGAGGAGCGUUCUAUAUUUUU